rnacentral:rRNA from 1 species
UACGACUACAUAUCAGGCAUAUCAAUAAGCGGAGGAAAAGAAACUAACAAGGAUUCCCUUAGUAACGGCGAGUGAAGCGGGAAGAGCUCAAAUUUGAAAUCUUCAAGGUUUUACCUUGACGAAUUGUAGUUUAAAGAAGUGUUUUCUGUUGAGUUUUCGGUAAAAGUUCUUUGGAAUAGGACAUCAUAGAGGGUGAGAAUCCCGUAUUUGACCAUUACUUCCAGCUGUGUGAUACACUUUCAAAGAGUCGGAUUGUUUGGGAAUGCAGUCCAAAAUGGGUGGUAAAUUUCAUCUAAAGCUAAAUAUUGGCGAGAGACCGAUAGCGAACAAGUACCGUGAGGGAAAGAUGAAGAGAACUUUGAAAAGAGAGUUAAACAGUACGUGAAAUUGUCAUAAGGGAAGCGUUUGACACCAGUGUUGUUUUCUCGAAAAUCAAUUAAAAAGUAUGGGAUUUUGUAGUUGUAAUUGACCUUUAUCAGCUUACGGCUACUUUUUUCUUAUCUUUUUAAUGCACUUUUCGUUUAACAAGUCAACAUCAAUUUCUUUUGUUGUAAAAGAGUCAUUGGAAGGUGGCUUUUCUUUCGGAGAAAAGUGUUUAUAGCCUUUGGACUUCCUGCAAUCGGAGAGAUUGAGGUCUGCAGCGUAGAUCCUUCUGGAUUAGAUACAUUUGUGCUAAGCUAUAGUUCUUUAUAGACAACUUGUUGACUAUGAUCAAUCCUGUAGCUUACUCGCUUAUGGCUAUUUUACCUACGCUUAGGAUGUUGAAUCUGUGCGAGACUAC